rnacentral:rRNA from 1 species
UACAGAGGUCCCAAGCGUUGUUCGGAUUCAUUGGGCGUAAAGGGUGCGUAGGCGGCGCGGUAAGUCGGGUGUGAAAUCUCGGAGCUUAACUCCGAAACUGCAUUCGAUACUGCCGUGCUUGAGGACUGGAGAGGAGACUGGAAUUUACGGUGUAGCGGUGAAAUGCGCAGAUAUCAGGAAGAACACCAAUGGCGAAGGCAGCUCUCUGGGACGGUACUGACGCUGAGACGCGAAAGCGUGGGGAGCGAACAGG